rnacentral:misc_RNA from 1 species
ACCUAUAAGAAGGAGAUCACUAAAAAUAAUCCUCUCCUUUCUCACUAUUUAGGCACACUCAUCGUGCUCUCCGCCACUUCUCAAUUUGCAUUAUUUCAGAUCUAUUCCUCUUUUUCUUCGUUUCCUCUGCAUCCAUCAAUGGCUUCCAUUACAGGCUCAUCAGCUACCGCCAUGUCCUGCUCCUUCAAGGCACCUAACCGUGUAUCGAAUUUGAAAACAUCUUCUCUUUCAUUCAAGGGGAUUAGCUACUCUUCCAUCAGUGUGAAUCCAGCCACUCGUCGCCUCAGUAUUACUUGUGCGGCUAAGCCAGAGACUGUCAACAAAGUGUGUGACAUUGUGAAGAAACAACUGGCUCUUUCUGCUGAUACUGAUGUCUGUGGAGAUUCAAAGUUUGCUGCGCUUGGUGCUGAUUCUCUUGAUACGGUGGAGAUUGUCAUGGGACUUGAGGAAGAAUUUGGCAUCUCGGUGGAAGAAGACAGUGCUCAGAGUAUUGCAACCGUUCAAGAUGCUGCAGACCUGAUUGAGGAUCUCAUUUCAAAGAAAGCUUGAGACUGAACUGAACUUUAUUUAGAACCUCAGCUAGUUUGCUUAUUAGGAUUAUCUCGUUUGGUUGUGUUUUACA